GUAGGGGAAAUUUUUCGGUUCAAUGGGGCGCAAGCCUGAACGAGCAAUGCCGCGUGAACGAGGAAGGUCUUCGGAUCGUAAAGUUCUGUUGAAGGGGAAAAAGAGCGGAGAGAGGAAAUGGUCUCCGAUUGAUAUUACCCUUCGAGGAAGUCACGGCUAACUACGUGCC
rnacentral:rRNA from 1 species